rnacentral:lncRNA from 1 species
AUUUUACCCCAUUUAACUUUUAAUAUCCCAAAAUUACUCUCCCUUUAAAUUAAAAAAUAAGAAAACAAAAAAUCAAAACAAAAGUGAGCAAAUUGUCGUCAGUGUCCCGGCUCGUCAUUGACAAAGCUCCAUCAUCUUCACUAGUCAUUUUCCUAUGGAGCAGCAGUGCACAAACACCUUUGUGUCAUUACCAAAAGCUCCCUCGUUAUUGCUAUUCAUCGCCUAUGGAGACGUGACCGAUUGGCCAGCACAUCGUUGCCGUUUGGGUACUAGCAACCAACUAAAUAAUAAUAACAUAAUAACGAG